GCAUUGACGCCACAAGCUCCGGCGCACGGCGCCCCAGGCCCCGCCCCGCGCGAGCCCGCCCCUGCUGCCGCCAUUGGGCGGGCCGUGUGCUGACUUUGGAACGCCGACCAACCCGAAGAUGUGAUUGGACAGAUCUGUCAACAUUCAUAGCGAGAACCAUUCCGUAAGAUUGGUUGAACGCCUGUUUGUCAGACCUUGUAGUGGCUGCUCAGGGCCUCCUGCCUUUUAAUUCUCCAAGUACACCUAAGCUUUAGGCAUUAUACCAGGCACGCACUCACAGGAAGCCUGGUCAAUGGAGGGUCCAGGAAAGAAUGAGAGAUCCUGGAGAACAGAAGUGCUGCAGGGUUAGCAGUAGGGGGGAGGAGGAGAACGUAAAGGAUGGGUGGCUUUUCUCGUGGAAGUGCUAGAGGUAGAGGGGAAAAGUAGGAUCUGUGGAAUGGUGAUGGCGAGGAAAGAUUCUUGCUCAGUGUUUUGAUGUGAAAAGAACUAAUCAGUGUGUUUUAGAGCCCAAUUUAUCUUUCAUCCCCUAGAGCCUAUAGGUUUGGAUGGUUCAGAAUUCCCUUAGGUAGUUCUGUCUCCCUGCUACUGAAAUAUAACUGCACGACAGCAAGAGAAUGGUUAUCUUUGCCUCUAAGCCCUCUAAGCACAAAAGAAGCAGUGAGAUUAGGCAAUGGUAGUAUGGUAGGUUUGUAUCUUGGCUUCCUCUCCCUAGCUCGGUGAUUUGGGACGGGGUAUGUUACUUCUUGUGCCCUUCCUCUUACU